rnacentral:lncRNA from 1 species
GCCGUCCCCGGACACGUUCUGUUUGGAGCGGAUGGCACCUUCCAUUCCACGUGUCUACACUUCGAGGGCUUCCCCGCGAUCUUGUGGGAUACCUUGAAAUGGUUCGGGUAUCAGUCCCCACCGUUGUACGCGGGACGACUGUACCUGGAGCAAGGCGUCCAGAUGUGCAACGUACAGGCGGUAGUACCUCCUCCUCCUGUGCGACCCGACUGGCCCUCGUUCGGGAUAUCAGCAUAUGGUCUUGCCCCAGAAGACACCUGGGAGUCCGCCGCCCUUCAGCUCCUUAUUCGUUUCUGUCAGUUACACCCACUGGAGGUCACCCUAGACCCCAUCGGC